CCCAAGGAUGGGGCCGCGGCCGAUCAGGUUGUUGGUGAGGUAAUGGCUCACCAAGCCUUUAACCGGUUCGGGCCGUGGGAGCGGUAGCCCGGAGAUGGGCACUGAGACAAGGGCCCAGGCCCUACGGGGCGCAGCAGUCGCGAAAACUUCGCAAUAAGCGAAAGCUUGACGGGGCCAUCCCGAGUGCCAUCUGCUGAGGAUGGCUUUUACCCAGUGUAGAUAGCUGGGGGAAUAAGGAGAGGGCAAGUCUGGUGUCAGCCGCCGCGGUAAUACCAGCUCUCCGAGUUGUGGGGACGUUUAUUGAGCCUAAAGCAUCCGUAGCCGGCUGGGCAAGUCCUCUGUUAAAUCCAGCGACAAAUCGUUGGCCUGCGGGGGAUACUGCUCGGCUAGGGGGCGGGAGAGGCCGUCGGUAUUCUUGGGGUAGGGGUGAAAUCCUAUAAUCCCGGGAGGACCACCAGUGGCGAAGGCUGUCGGCUAGAACGCGCCCGACGGUGAGGGAUGAAAGCUGGGGGAGCGAACCGGAUUAGAUACCCGGGUAGUCCCAGCUGUAAACGAU
rnacentral:rRNA from 1 species